CGGAGUGCCAGGUAGGCCAAGCUGGCCACCUCCAGGCUCUCACGCCAGAUCGGGUUUACAGCUGCUCCAAGACAAGAGCCCUCCUGGAAGAGGUCAUGACAACUGGAGGGUUCCUGAGGACAAAAGAAAGCACCUGUCCCUCCUUUCUUCAGGAAGGGCACGAGGAGGAUCCAGGGAACUACAAGCCAGUCAUCUCUCUUCGGUUGCUGGGAAGGUGAUGCAGCAACUAAUCCUGGAAACCAUUUCCAAACACAUUAAGGAUAAGAAGGUGAUGGGAAGAAGUCGGCAUGGAUUUAUGAAGGAAAAAUGGAGUUUGACCAACCUGAGCACCUUCUACAAUAAAGUGAUUAAUUCUGUGGACAAGGGCAGAGCAGGGGAGAGCGUUUAUCUUGCCUUCAGCAAGGCUGUCAGCACUGUCUCCCCUAACAUCCUCCUAGACAAACUGAGGAAAUGCAGGUGAGAUACAUGGAGAGCCUGAAAAGGGGCUGAACUGUUGGGCUCAAAGGGCUGUGGUCAGCGGCACAAGGCCCAGCAGGAGGCCACCACUAGCACUGUGACCCUGGGGUCAAUACUGGGGCCAGUACAGGUUCACAUCUUUGAUGAUGACAUGGACAAUGGGACAGAGUGCAGCCUCAGCAACCUGGCAGACUCCACAGCCUUGGGAGGAGUGGUUGUUCUCCCUCCAUGGCUGUGCUGCCACUCAGAAGGACCUUGACAACCCCGAGAAGCGGGCAACCGGCAAUCUCGUAAAGUUCAACAACGGGAACUGCCAUGGGCUGCAUCUGGGGACAAAUAACCCUGUGCACCGGGGCAGGCUGGGGGCUACUGGUUGCACAGCAGCAAGGAGCAGCCAACGGCCUCCUGGGCCGCACCAGGAACAGCAUCGCCAGCAGGGCAAGGGAGGGGAGCCUUGCCCUCUCCUCAGCACUGGGGAGGCCACAGCUGGAGGGCUGGGCCCAGGACAUGGACCUCCUGGAACAUGUGCAGCAAAGGACCAUGAAGAUGAUGAGUGGCUUGGAGCAUCUGCCCUGCCUGGAGAGACUGCGAGAACUGGGCCUGCUCAGCCUGGAGAAGAGACAGCUCUGGGGGCAUCUUACUCUGUAUAAAUAAAUCCCUGUGGGAAUACCUGAUGGGGGUAGAAGGUGAAGAAUCAGAGCCAGGCUCUUCUCGGUGGUGUCCAGGGAAAGGCCAGGAAGCAACAGGCACAAACUGAAAUAGAGGAAACUCCAUUCAAACAUAAGAAAAAAACUCCUUUACUAUGAGGGCGGUUGAACACUGGAACAGGUUGCCGAGAGAGGUGUUGGUGUCUCCAUCCUCGGAGAUACUCAAGCCCUGGCUGGACAUGGCCCUGAAAACCUGCUCUGCAGGAGCCUGCUUUGAGCAGGGGCCUGGCCCAGAGGAUCUCCUGAGGCCUCUUCUGACUUCAGCCCUCCUGUGACUCUGUGGGCUGCACCUUUCCCAUGGACCAAGUCACCAUGCAUCCAGAAAUGUGAGAAUCAUGAAAAAACAGCAGGCAGCAGAUAACAAUUCUGCACCCUGAAUUGAAAGGGGGCGUCACUGGGGGGCCCAGAGACAAUCUCUGAAAUGCCCAUGCACUUCUCAUCGCUCAAAACUUUCCAUGAGUGACAGAAGCAGAAAUUUCUGUCUUCCCCUGCUGCCAUGGGAGCAAGUCCCCAAGCUCGCGCUCGCCCUCUUGCUUGCUUGCCAUGGCUUCUGCUUCCUAGCUCACCACAGCUAACAGUCCUCAGCACUGUACCAAAACACACCUAAGAUGGGAUCUUUUUCUAUAUUUUCUGCUUAGAUUAUUUGCACAGGAUGAGACAUAAUUGCAGAGCGAGAAGCCCUGUCAUAUGCCACCGGCCACCUCUCAGGGUUUCAAGCUUUCAAAAAAGUUUUACGCUGUUUCCCAGAAAUACAAGGUAUCUUGUAAGAUGAGAGCAAGUUAAAACCCUCAGUCCAGAGAAAUAACUAUUUAAAAUAGCAUUAUAUCAGAAAAUUACUUAUUUCUAGACCAUUUCUUAUAUAGGUAAAAUGAAGACGUAAACAACAGGACUCACAUCUUGGCCUACAGCUUAAGGUGAGGUAAAGGCGAGUGACUUUUUCACAGUCUUGCCCUGUGCUUCCUGUUUUCUUCUGCCAGAAUAAAAAUUCCACCUUUAAUGCAGUGACCCAAAAACCUUUACAGAUGGGACUGUAGAAUUCGAGUGUAUUUGUUUUCUUUCGUGUUAACCAAAUGAUGCACUUAGGAUCAAGCCGUAUCAGAUUGAUGCUGAUUUCAUUAUCAUUUAUUUAGCUUUCUAGAACAAGUUCCCUUGUAAGAAUGACGCUUCCUUUUUUUCCAACAGUUUGAAAUAUUUUCAGCAUUAAUACAGGAUGAAUUUGUAGACUAUUCAAAGGCCUCUCUUGAUCCUUCAAAACACCUGGCACAAAAAAUAAAAUAUUAUAUUGCUUUUAAGUUCUUUAAGGCUUAAAAUGUGAUAUAGUUCAGAGAGUGAACUACAUGUGGAUUUAAUUUCACAAUGAAAUUUUAAUAAAAAUUCUCCUUAAAUACAAUUAGGUGUGAAAUUUUGCUUAUCCAGCCUAGAGCCAGAAUUUUUAGCAAUGAGGCCAAUAGUACAACCAGAGAACUUAAAGUGUGUACAUAUAUAUUUGUGUGCAUGUGCAAUGCACACACUGCGGACUAACAUGAUGACAGGGCUUUUCACAGCAGCAGUUGGUUUAUGCCCAGAAGCAUGACAGUUUGGACUUCUAACUACGAUCAUAACAGUAAUGCUAUACAGUGUAACUGAAAAUAUCUUAUUAUUCAAAUAAAUGACUUUCUGUAUCA